AACGACUUCUCCAGUAGCAACAGGGUUUCCUAUCAGUAUUGGAUCAGUGCUCAUCUCCAUUCGUCUGGUGUUUGAAACCAUAUUGCCAGCACCCUCUGAAACCAACGUGCUCAGUGUGGCACACAAUCUGUUUAACUUCAAACUCAGAUCCUUGGACAAUCCACAGAUGGUGCAGAAUAUUACUUAUGAAAAGUUAUCCAACCACUCCUUUGCUCUCAAAUUUGUGUUUGCAAUCAACAACGUCA